GACGAACGCUGGCGGCGUGCUUAACACAUGCAAGUCGAACGGAAAGGCCCUGCUUUUGUGGGGUGCUCGAGUGGCGAACGGGUGAGUAACACGUGAGUAACCUGCCCUUGACUUUGGGAUAACUUCAGGAAACUGGGGCUCAUACCGCAUAGGAGCUCCUGCUCCAUGGUGGGGGUUGGAAAGAUUCGGCGGUUGGGGAUGGACUCGCGGCUUAUCAGCUGGUUGGUGGGGUAGUGGCUUACCAAGGCUUUGACGGGUAGCCGGCCUGAGAGGGUGACCGGCCACAUUGGGACUGAGAUACGGCCCAGACUCCUACGGGAGGCAGCAGUGGGGAAUAUUGCACAAUGGGCGGAAGCCUGAUGCAGAAACGCCGCGUGCGGGAUGACGGCCUUCGGGUUGUAAACCGCUUUCGCCUGUGACGAAGCGUGAGUGACGGUAAUGGGUAAAGAAGCACCGGCUAACUACGUG
rnacentral:rRNA from 1 species